AAUAUUGGACAAUGGGGGCAACCCUGAUCCAGCCAGGCCGCGUGUGUGAAGAAGGUCUUCGGAUUGUCAAGCACUUUAAGUUGGGAGGAAGGGAUCUAGGUUAAUACCAUGAUGUUAUUAAGAUACCAACAGAAUAAUCACAGACUAACCGUGUGUCAGCAGCCGCGGUAAUACAGAGGGUGCAAGCGUUAAUCGGAAUUACUGGGCGUAAAGCGCGCGUAGGUGGUUCAGAAAGAUGGGUGUGAAAUCCCCGGGCUUAACCUGGGAACUGCUUUCAUAACUGCUGAGCUAGAGUACGGUAGAGGGUAGUGGAAUUUCCUGUGUAGCGGUGAAAUGCGUAGAUAUAGGAAGGAACACCAGUGGCGAAGGCGACUACCUGGACUGAUACUGACACUGAGGUGCGAAAGCGUGGGGAGCA
rnacentral:rRNA from 1 species